GUGAAAUAUGGCGAGGAAAACAGAAAAAGGUGGAAAAUUUAGAAAUGUCCACUGUAGGACAUGGAAUAUGGCAAGAAAACUGAAAAUCAUGGAAAAUGAGAAACAUCCACUUGACGACUUGAAAAAUGACGAAAUCACUGAAAAACGUGAAAAAUGAGAAAUGCACACUGUAGGACCUGGAAUAUGGCGAGAAAACUGAAAAUCACGGAAAAUGAGAAAUACACACUUUAGGACGUGAAAUAUGGCGAGGAAAACUGAAAAAGUUGGAAAAUUUAGAAAUGUCCAUUGUAGGACAUGGAAUAUGGCAAGAAAACUGAAAAUCAUGGAAAAUGAGAAACAUCCACUUGACGACUUGAAAAAUGACGAAAUCACUGAAAAACGUGAAAAAUGAGAAAUGCACACUGUAGGACCUGGAAUAUGGCAAGAAAACUGAAAAUCACGGAAAAUGAGAAAUACACACUUUAGGAUGUGAAAUAUGGCGAGGAAAACAGAAAAAGGUGGAAAAUUUAGAAAUGUCCACUGUAGGACAUGAAAUAUGGCAAGAAAAGUGAAAAUCAUGGAAAAUGAGAAACAUCCACUUGACAACGUGAAAAAUGACGAAAUC
rnacentral:lncRNA from 1 species